UACGGAGGGAGCUAGCGUUGUUCGGAAUUACUGGGCGUAAAGCGCACGUAGGCGGCUUUGCAAGUUAGAGGUGAAAGCCCGGGGCUCAACUCCGGAAUUGCCUUUAAAACUGCAUCGCUAGAGUUGUGGAGAGGUAAGUGGAAUUCCGAGUGUAGAGGUGAAAUUCGUAGAUAUUCGGAGGAACACCAGUGGCGAAGGCGACUUACUGGACACAUACUGACGCUGAGGUGCGAAAGCGUGGGGAGCAAACAGG
rnacentral:rRNA from 1 species